UGAGCAUGGAAAUUAUUUCAUAAAUACCUCACCAAGUCCUUGUUCAUAUAAAACAUCUCUCCAAUCAAUUGGUCUCUCCAACCUUACCACAUUUGAGAUCUCCAACCCCCUCUUCCUCUUCAUUUAUAAAAACUAUAAAAGGGCGGUUGUCGAUGCAUAUGUCUAUAAUAAAUAUUGCAGAUAUCGUUGAGUUAAUCUUG
rnacentral:lncRNA from 1 species